AGCUCUGUGGUGAAUUAACAUGUUGGAUUG
rnacentral:tRNA from 1 species